AGGGCGCACGGGGGAUGCCUGUGGCUCUCAGAGGCGAAGAAGGACGUGAUAAGCUGCGAAAAGCGUCGGGGAGGUGCAAAUAACUUGUGAUCCGGCGAUAUCCGAAUGGGGCAACCCAGCAUGUUGAAGACAUGUUAUUUCCGAAUGGAAAGGCGAACUCGGUGAACUGAAACAUCUAAGUAACCGAAGGAAGAGAAAACAAAAGUGAUUUCCCAAGUAGUGGCGAGCGAACGGGAAAAAGCCCAAACCAAGGUUGUUACGGCAACGUUGGGGUUGUAGGACCACGACAUAGAAAUAUUCUUGAUAUUGGAACACAUCUGGAAAGAUGGACCGAAGAAGGUGAUAGUCCUGUAUAAGAAAUUGAGGAUAGAUUUUAGUGGAAUCCUGAGUACCGCGGGACCGGAGAAAUCCUGUGGGAAACCGGCAGCACCAUCUGCCAAGGCUAAAUACUACUGAGAGACCGAUAGCGAACUAGUACCGUGAGGGAAAGGUGAAAAGUACUCCGAACAGGAGGGUGAAAUAGAACCUGAAACCGUGCGCUUACAAGCGGUCGGAGCCCAUUCGUUGGGUGACGGCGUGCCUUUUGCAUAAUGAGCCUACGAGUUACACCUCUCUGGCAAGGUUAAUUGCUUAGAAGCAAGAAGCCGAAGCGAAAGCGAGUCUGAAUAGGGCGCGAAGUCAGAGGGGGUAGACGCGAAACUUUGUGAUCUACCCAUGGCCAGGUUGAAGUUGCAGUAACAUGCAAUGGAGGACCGAACCAGUUAGCGUUGAAAAGCUUUUGGAUGAGCUGUGGGUAGGGGUGAAAGGCUAAUCAAACUGAGAGAUAGCUCGUACUCCCCGAAAUGUUUUUAGGAACAGCCUGAGGUGGACUGUCUUAGAGGUAGAGCUACUGAUUGGAUGCGGGGGCUUCACCGCCUACCAAAUCCUGACAAACUCCGAAUGCUAAGACAUAAUACCUUGGAGUGAGGCUAUGGGUGCUAAGGUCCGUGGCCGAGAGGGAAAGAACCCAGACCAUCAGCUAAGGUCCCCAAAUAAUUACUAAGUUGGUUAAACGAGGUCUGAUUGCAUUGACAGCUAGGAUGUUGGCUUGGAAGCAGCCAUUCAUUUAAAGAGUGCGUAACAGCUCACUAGUCGAGCGAUCGGGCAUGGAUAAUAAUCGGGCAUAAGUAGUUUACCGAAGCUAUGGUAUAGUGCUUUAGGGCACUGUAGGUAGGGGAGCAUUCCAGUCUGCGUAGAAGGUGAAUCGUAAGGUUUGCUGGAGCGUCUGGAAAAGCAAAUGUAGGCAUAAGUAACGAUAAUGCGGGCGAGAAACCCGCACACCGAAAGACUAAGGUUUCCUGAUCAACGAUAAUCGGAUCAGGGUAAGUCGGGACCUAACGCGAAGCCGAAGGGCGGAAGUGGAUGGACAAUCGGUUAAAAUUCCGAUACUGACUGAUAUUGUGAUGGACUGACGGAGAAGUGGAACUACCGCGUGCUGACGGAAUAGCACGUUAAAGGGUGUAGAUAAAUUUGUUAUAGGUAAAUCCGUAAUGAAUGUCGAACCUGAUAGUACCGAGAGGCUUCGGCUAAUUGGAUAGUGUAGGUAAUCAAGCUCCCAAGAAAACGUUCUAAACAUAGAUAUCAGUUACCCGUACCGUAAACCGACACAGGUAGUCGAGGAGAGAAUCCAAAGGUGCUCGAGUGAUCCGUGGCUAAGGAACUAGGCAAAUUAGUCCUGUAACUUUGGGAAAAAGGACCCCUACGUGAGUAGGGCGCAGAGAAAUGGCCCUGGCGACUGUUUAGCAAAAACACAUGGCUUUGCCAAAUCGCAAGAUGAAGUAUAAGGCCUGACACCUGCCCGGUGCUGGAAGGUUAAGAGGAGAUGUCAUCGUAAGAGAAGCAUUGAAUUGAAGCCCCAGUAAACGGCGGCCGUAACUAUAACGGUCCUAAGGUAGCGAAAUUCCUUGUCGGGUAAGUUCCGACCUGCACGAAUGGUGUAACGAUCUGGGUACUGUCUCAGCCAUGAGCUCGGUGAAAUUGUAGUAGCGGUGAAGAUGCCGCUUACCCGCAACGGGACGGAAAGACCCCGUGAACCUUCACUAUAGCUUAACAUUGACUUUGAAUAAAUGAUGUGUAGGAUAGGUGGGAGACUGAGAAUUGGCCUCGCUAGGGGUCAAGGAGUCAACCUUGAAAUACCACCCUUUGUUUCUUCGGAGCCUAAUCCCCAAAAAGGGGAGACAGUGUUUGGUGGGUAGUUUGACUGGGGUGGUCGCCUCCAAAAGCGUAACGGAGGCUUUCAAAGGUACCCUCAGCACGCUUGGUAACCGUGCGUAGAGUGCAAUAGCAAAAGGGUGCUUGACUGUGAGACCAACAAGUCGAACAGGUAGGAAACUAGGAUAUAGUGAUCCGGUGGUUCCGUAUGGAAGGGCCAUCGCUCAAAGGAUAAAAGGUACUCCGGGGAUAACAGGCUGAUCACUCCCAAGAGCUCACAUCGACGGAGUGGUUUGGCACCUCGAUGUCGGCUCGUCACAUCCUGGGGCUGGAGAAGGUCCCAAGGGUUGGGCUGUUCGCCCAUUAAAGUGGCACGCGAGCUGGGUUCAGAACGUCGCGAGACAGUUCGGUCCCUAUCUGUUGUGGGCGUUGGAAAUUUGAGAGGAUCUGACUUUAGUACGAGAGGACCGAGUUGGACGAACCUCUAGUGUACCAGUUGUUUUGCCAAGAGCAUCGCUGGGUAGCUAUGUUCGGAAAGGAUAAGUGCUGAAAGCAUCUAAGUACGAAACCUGCCUCAAGAUUAGAUUUCCUUAUAGGGAGGUUGCAGAUUACGACCUUGAUAGGUUACAGGUGUAAAGGCAGUAAUGUCAAAGCCGAGUAAUACUAAUAACCCGAAAUCUUUCCUC
rnacentral:rRNA from 1 species